rnacentral:lncRNA from 1 species
CAUUGUCUUUUCUAUACUGUAGGGGGGCACAUCCCAGUUACCCACAUGCAAGGAGGCUGUCAAACAGAGAAAUCACUGCAGACUGUUGAUACACAGACAUCUGCUGCCCAGCUCAGGAGUGAAGGUGAUGGUGAGGACAGCCACAGCUUCCAUCUGGUAGAGGACUGCUUCCGCUCAGUCUUCCAAAUAGUGAUGAGAACAAGGAUCACCACAUCUCCCUGGUCAUCUAUUUACAACUAUACCUGUUCUGCUGCAGAAACAAAUCUCCAACAUAACAAAGUGUACCCCCUGCACAGGACAUGGACUGUUUACCCUACUUCCAUGCAUUUCGUCUGCAAGGCCCUGCAAAAGCUUCUGUCUUUAAACCCCCAGACUUCUUAAUUAACUCAGUAAGCUAUACAUUGCACACUGGAGUGUGAAGGUAACAGUUUGUUCUAGCUUUGGAGUAAUGGUGCAUUUUUUUGGUUGACAAUAAAGUUGGCUUUAACUAUUACGUAUUUCA